GACGAACGCUGGCGGCGUGCCUAAUACAUGCAAGUCGAACGCUGAAGGAGGAGCUUGCUUCUCUGGAUGAGUUGCGAACGGGUGAGUAACGCGUAGGUAACCUGCCUGGUAGCGGGGGAUAACUAUUGGAAACGAUAGCUAAUACCGCAUAAGAGUAGAUGUUGCAUGACAUUUGCUUAAAAGGUGCAAUUGCAUCACUACCAGAUGGACCUGCGUUGUAUUAGCUAGUUGGUGGGGUAACGGCUCACCAAGGCGACGAUACAUAGCCGACCUGGGAGGGGGAUCGGCCACACUGGGACUGGGACACGGCCCAGACUCCUACGGGAGGCAGCAGUAGGGAAUCUUCGGCAAUGGACGGAAGUCUGACCGAGCAACGCCGCGUGAGUGAAGAAGGUUUUCGGAUCGUAAAGCUCUGUUGUAAGAGAAGAACGAGUGUGAGAGUGGAAAGUUCACACUGUGACGAUAUCUUACCAGAAAGGGACGGCUAACUACGUG
rnacentral:rRNA from 1 species